rnacentral:rRNA from 1 species
UACGUAGGGUGCGAGCGUUGUCCGGAAUUAUUGGCGUAAAGGGCUGUAGGCGUUUGUCACGUCGGGAAGUCGGAAAAACUCGGGGCUCAACCCCGAGCCUGCUUCCGAUAGGGCAGACUAGAAGGUAUGCAGGGGAGAAUGGAAUUCCUGGUGUAGCGGUGAAAAUGCGGCAGAUAUCAGGAGGAACACCGGUGGCGAAGGCGGUUCUCUGGGCAUUAACCUGACGCU